ensembl:lncRNA PACRG-AS1 PACRG antisense RNA 1
GGACAUAGUUUUGGCUGUAGGUUGUUUUCACGAACCCACAGAGACAGAAACCUGCGGCAAUGGAGAAAAUGCUAAUACAGACAUCUUACUUCAGUGUCUGGCAAACAAGAUUAUACACUGAGGACGAUGUAGACGUCAGCUUCCCUGACGAGGGAAGCUGCAGCUUUCUGAUGAUUCCUGAAGCCUACAUUCUAUUAAUUUCCCCGAAGAGCCCUAUUGCCUAAUGGAACAUUGUGAGAAUGGCCAGUCUGGAAAGCAGGAUCAGUGGAGCUGGCUUCUGGCUCACUGGCUUUCAGCUGAGCCUUCCAAAUGGCUGGGAAUGAACAUCCAGUUAGAAGCCUCGGUUUGGAACAGUGGUUCUCAGACUUCAUGGUGUGUGACAGUCACUGGGGAACUUGUCCAAACACAGAUUGACAGACCCCAUCCCAAAGUUUCUGAUUCAGCGGCUCUAGGGAGGGCCCUAAGAACACGAGCUCCUCUUCCCAAGCUCCCAGGUGACGCUGAGGUUGCUGCCCCGGGAGCCCACUUUGAGAACUGCUGAUCUAGGGUGUGCUGGGGUAACUCUGGCUGUCAGAGGGGUCAGGACACUUGGUCUCCUUCUCUUUGGUCUCACUGAGAAUGUGAAUGUGAAUGGCCUUUUGAGGCCACUUGCACUGAGUCCUCUACAGGGCACACUGGACGGCGGGGGAGCGUCUGGAAGGGGUCUGCACACCGGCUUGCAGCCUCAGUGAUGCUCAUCUAGUGCGGGUCCUGCGUGGUCCCCAGAGGAACCCAGUGAGAAAUCCGGAGGAGACGGACAGAGAGGAGGAUGACUUCCUUUUGUAUUACAACGUCAUGAUUACAAAUAAUCAUAAUAGAGUGCCCAUUUUAAAGUGGCCUUUCCCUCCAAGCACACAGGAGACUCCCUCAGAUUCCCUAGGAAACCAAAGAAAUACUGAAUCUACUCCACAAAAGGUACUUGGUUGGCUGCUUCCCCAGGAACAUCCCUCCAUCCUCACGGGUAUCCCGCCAUGGACCUCGGGGAGCCCUGGACAAACAUGCAUGUGUGCGACGCUUGUAACAAACCUGCAAGGUAGACCUCAUACAGCCCAGUUUUGGAAGAGGGAGUUGAGUUUUAGAGCAUUUACAUAAUUUGCCCAAGGUCACAAGACAGCUACUCAGUGGUAGAAAGAUACUUCAAACGCAGUUCUGCUGGGCUCCCACUCCUGCACCAGAACCAUUAUGCUGUAGUAUCUAUCAUCGUGUCCUCGCAGUGACCUGGGAAGAGAGGCUGUACUGCAGGCGAGGAAAGACAAAGUGACUCGCUCCAGGCUGUCCAGCUCCUGAGUGACCGGCUCAGCCUUCCCACCCAGCUCCCCUACCCUGGCGUCCAAGAUCUCAUUCCUUGCCUCCCUCUUAACUGACUUGAACACCUGAAUGGUGUCUUCGAGUAAAUGUAACAGUCAUAAGAGGACAAACAAAAACCCUUGCCUAAUACUCAGUCCCCAGUAUUUCCCACUUUUCAUCAUUCCGUUCCUUUAGCUGUCUUAGAAAGGUGGUUUCAGUGUAUAAAUGUAGCAGGUGGAAGAAGCUGUUGUCUUGCUCAGAGGCCGGAAAGCUGCUGACAUUUCCUCCUUCUCUGUUGAGUUAAUCAGAAAUUAUUUGGCAGGAGACCCGGGUAUUAUUUUAGAAGGCAGACGUAGGUGGGCUGACCAUCGGAAAAAGCAGUCUUUUCUAAUUCUAUUAAAAUAACAAAAAUGUGGGUUUUGGGGUUUUAUUUUGCCUUUUAAUUUCCAGAGAACAUGAUACUAUCUAUAUAGUUAUUUUGGGUUUUUGCAAAAUUAUCUUCUUUUCACAAGAAACUCACCAUUGCACGUAAGAAGCAUCAUAUUGUCUGAGGAGUUCUCAGAUAUAUAUAUCGCUCUGCCCGGGUAGAGAGUAGUCAUGUUUUGUACUUGUUUUUCUUUGAAAUAAAAGUCUGACAGGUAUCA